rnacentral:rRNA from 1 species
CUCCACCCGAGACUCAGUGAAAUUGAACUCGCUGUGAAGAUGCAGUGUACCCGCGGCAAGACGGAAAGACCCCGUGAACCUUUACUAUAGCUUGACACUGAACAUUGAGCCUUGAUGUGUAGGAUAGGUGGGAGGCUUUGAAGUGUGGACGCCAGUCUGCAUGGAGCCGACCUUGAAAUACCACCCUUUAAUGUUUGAUGUUCUAACGUGGACCCGUUACCCGGGUUGCGGACAGUGUCUGGUGGGUAGUUUGACUGGGGCGGUCUCCUCCUAAAGAGUAACGGAGGAGCACGAAGGUUGGCUAAUCCUGGUCGGACAUCAGGAGGUUAGUGCAAUGGCAUAAGCCAGCUUGACUGCGAGCGUGACGGCGCGAGCAGGUGCGAAAGCAGGUCAUAGUGAUCCGGUGGUUCUGAAUGGAAGGGCCAUCGCUCAACGGAUAAAAGGUACUCCGGGGAUAACAGGCUGAUACCGCCCAAGAGUUCAUAUCGACGGCGGUGUUUGGCACCUCGAUGUCGGCUCAUCACAUCCUGGGGCUGAAGUAGGUCCCAAGGGUAUGGCUGUUCGCCAUUUAAAGUGGUACGCGAGCUGGGUUUAGAACGUCGUGAGACAGUUCGGUCCCUAUCUGCCGUGGGCGCUGGAGAACUGAGGGGGGCUGCUCCUAGUACGAGAGGACCGGAGUGGACGCAUCACUGGUGUUCGGGUUGUCAUGCCAAUGGCACUGCCCGGUAGCUAAAUGCGGAAGAGAUAAGUGCUGAAAGCAUCUAAGCACGAAACUUGCCCCGAGAUGAGUUCUCCCUGAGACUUAGAGUCUCCUGAAGGAACGUUGAAGACGACGACGUUGAUAGGCCGGGUGUGUAAGCGCAGCGAUGCGUUGAGCUAACCGGUACUAAUGAACCGUGAGGCUUAACCUUACAACGCCGAAG